rnacentral:ncRNA from 1 species
UUUCUCUGGAGAAGUCUGAUUUAAUAUCAGAUGCCGAAGGGGCAAGGCGAAAGAACCGCACAAUCUCUCAGGCAAAAGGACGGAGACUU